AUACUUACCUGGCAGGGGAGAUACCAUGAUCACUAAGGUGGUUUUCCCAGCUCGAGGCUUAUCCAUUGCACUCCGGAUGUGCUGACCCCUGUGAUUUCCCCAAAUGUGGGAAAUUCAACUGCAUAAUUUGUGGUAGUGGGGGACCUCAUUCAUGCUUUCCCUUA
ensembl:snRNA U1 U1 spliceosomal RNA